rnacentral:rRNA from 1 species
GACUCUCGGCAACGGAUAUCUCGGCUCUUGCAUCGAUGAAGAACGUAGCGAAAUGCGAUACUUGGUGUGAAUUGCAGAAUCCCGUGAACCAUCGAGUUUUUGAACGCAAGUUGCGCCCGAUACCAUUAGGUUGAGGGCACGUCUGCCUGGGCGUCACACACAG